GUUGUAUGGUUAAGUGACUAAGCGUACACGGUGGAUGCCUUGGCAGUCAGAGGCGAUGAAAGACGUAGUAACUUGCGAUAAGCCCAGAUUAGGUAGUAACAACCAUUUGAGUCUGGGAUUUCUGAAUGGGGAAACCCACUUACAUAAGUAAGUAUCAUUAACUGAAUACAUAGGUUAAUGAGGCGAACCGGGGGAACUGAAACAUCUAAGUACCCCGAGGAAAAGAAAUCAACCGAGAUUCCGAAAGUAGCGGCGAGCGAAAUUGGACUAGCCCUUAAGCUUUACACGCGUUAGACGAACGGUCUGGAAAGUCCGACGAUACAGGGUGAUAGUCCCGUAGUUGACGACGUGUGUUCAGUGAAAUCGAGUAGGGCGGGACACGUGAUAUCCUGUCUGAAUAUGGGGGGACCAUCCUCCAAGGCUAAAUACUACUGACUGACCGAUAGUGAACCAGUACCGUGAGGGAAAGGCGAAAAGAACCCCUGUGAGGGGAGUGAAAUAGAACCUGAAACCGUGUACGUACAAGCAGUAGGAGCAGGCUUGUCCUGUGACUGCGUACCUUUUGUAUAAUGGGUCAGCGACUUAUAUUCAGUGGCAAGGUUAACCAUCUAGGGGAGCCGUAGGGAAACCGAGUCUUAACUGGGCGUUCAGUCUCUGGAUAUAGACCCGAAACCAGGUGAUCUAGCCAUGGGCAGGUUGAAGGUUGAGUAACAUCAACUGGAGGACCGAACCGACUAAUGUUGAAAAAUUAGCGGAUGACUUGUGGCUAGGGGUGAAAGGCCAAUCAAACCUGGAGAUAGCUGGUUCUCCCCGAAAGCUAUUUAGGUAGCGCCUCGGACGAAUACUACUGGGGGUAGAGCACUGUUAAGGCUAGGGGGUCAUCCCGACUUACCAACCCUUUGCAAACUCCGAAUACCAGUAAGUACUAUCCGGGAGACACACGGCGGGUGCUAACGUCCGUCGUGGAGAGGGAAACAACCCAGACCGCCAGCUAAGGUCCCAAAUUACUACUAAGUGGGAAACGAUGUGGGAAGGCUCAGACAGCCAGGAUGUUGGCUUAGAAGCAGCCAUCAUUUAAAGAAAGCGUAAUAGCUCACUGGUCGAGUCGGCCUGCGCGGAAGAUGUAACGGGGCUAAGUAGUAAACCGAAGCUGCGGCAAUGUGCUUUUGCACAUUGGGUAGGGGAGCGUUCUGUAAGCGGUUGAAGGUGUGUGGUAACGCAUGCUGGACGUAUCAGAAGUGCGAAUGCUGACAUGAGUAACGAUAAAGGGGGUGAAAAACCUCCUCGCCGGAAGACCAAGGGUUCCUGUCCAACGUUAAUCGGGGCAGGGUAAGUCGACCCCUAAGGCGAGGCCGAAAGGCGUAGUCGAUGGGAAACGGGUUAAUAUUCCCGUACUUCUUACAAUUGCGAUGGGGGGACGGAGAAGGCUAGGUGGGCCUGGCGACGGUUGUCCAGGUUCAAGUGCGUAGGCUUAAGAGUUAGGUAAAUCCGGCUCUUUUUAAGGCUGAGACACGACGUCGAGCUACUACGGUAGUGAAGUCAUUGAUGCCAUGCUUCCAGGAAAAGCCUCUAAGCUUCAGAUUGUAAGGAAUCGUACCCCAAACCGACACAGGUGGUCGGGUAGAGAAUACCAAGGCGCUUGAGAGAACUCGGGUGAAGGAACUAGGCAAAAUGGUACCGUAACUUCGGGAGAAGGUACGCUCUUGAUGGUGAAGUCCCUCGCGGAUGGAGCUGACGAGAGUCGCAGAUACCAGGUGGCUGCAACUGUUUAUUAAAAACACAGCACUGUGCAAAAUCGUAAGAUGACGUAUACGGUGUGACGCCUGCCCGGUGCCGGAAGGUUAAUUGAUGGGGUUAGACUUCGGUCGAAGCUCUUGAUCGAAGCCCCGGUAAACGGCGGCCGUAACUAUAACGGUCCUAAGGUAGCGAAAUUCCUUGUCGGGUAAGUUCCGACCUGCACGAAUGGCGUAAUGAUGGCCACGCUGUCUCCACCCGAGACUCAGUGAAAUUGAAAUCGCUGUGAAGAUGCAGUGUACCCGCGGCUAGACGGAAAGACCCCGUGAACCUUUACUACAGCUUGGCACUGAACAUUGACCCUACAUGUGUAGGAUAGGUGGGAGGCUUUGAAGCAGGUACGCCAGUAUCUGUGGAGCCGUCCUUGAAAUACCACCCUUGUAGUGUUGAUGUUCUAACGUCGACCCCUAAUCGGGGUUGCGGACAGUGCCUGGUGGGUAGUUUGACUGGGGCGGUCUCCUCCCAAAGAGUAACGGAGGAGCACGAAGGUGGGCUAAUCACGGUUGGACAUCGUGAGGUUAGUGCAAUGGCAUAAGCCCGCUUGACUGCGAGAAUGACAAUUCGAGCAGGUGCGAAAGCAGGUCAUAGUGAUCCGGUGGUUCUGAAUGGAAGGGCCAUCGCUCAACGGAUAAAAGGUACUCCGGGGAUAACAGGCUGAUACCGCCCAAGAGUUCAUAUCGACGGCGGUGUUUGGCACCUCGAUGUCGGCUCAUCACAUCCUGGGGCUGAAGUCGGUCCCAAGGGUAUGGCUGUUCGCCAUUUAAAGUGGUACGCGAGCUGGGUUUAGAACGUCGUGAGACAGUUCGGUCCCUAUCUGCCGUGGGCGUUGGAAGAUUGAAGGGGGCUGCUCCUAGUACGAGAGGACCGGAGUGGACGAACCUCUGGUGUUCGGGUUGUGUCGCCAGACGCAUUGCCCGGUAGCUAAGUUCGGAAUCGAUAACCGCUGAAAGCAUCUAAGCGGGAAGCGAGCCCUGAGAUGAGUCUUCCCUGAUACUUUAAGUAUCCUAAAGGGUUGUCGGAGACUACGACGUUGAUAGGUCAGGUGUGUAAGUGCUGUGAGGCAUUGAGCUAACUGAUACUAAUUGCCCGUGAGGCUUAACCAUACAACACCCAAGGGGUUU
rnacentral:rRNA from 1 species